AUAAUUCUGUUUAUCGACUUCAUUGUAAAACACAAGAUUCUAGAUCCUUACCCUUCCAAAACCCCACUCCUCCAUGGGAAUAUCUUCUGCAUACUCACCUAAAAUCUAUCAAUAGGCCUCCAUUAGGUUUCUUGAUGACCCUAUUCUCCCAACUUGCAGAAGAUCCAUUAUUUAAUAACAAAUUCAUCAGGGAAAAAAUAACGCAGGAAAAGGGAG
rnacentral:misc_RNA from 1 species